GCCUUCGUGGUGUAGUGGUCAGCACGCUCGACACGUAAACGAGAGGUCCGUGGUUCGAUUCCCGGCGAAGGCG
rnacentral:tRNA from 1 species